rnacentral:rRNA from 1 species
CAGCCGCCGCGGUAAUACAGAGGGUGCGAGCGUUAAUCGGAUUUACUGGGCGUAAAGCGUGCGUAGGCGGCUUCUUAAGUCGGAUGUGAAAUCCCUGAGCUUAACUUAGGAAUUGCAUUCAAUACUGGGAAGCUAGAGUAUGGGAGAGGAUGGUAGAAUUCCAGGUGUAGCGGUGAAAUGCGUAGAGAUCUGGAGGAAUACCGAUGGCGAAGGCAGCCAUCUGGCCUAAUACUGACGCUGAGGUACGAAAGCAUGGGGAGCAAACAGGAUUAGAUACCCCCGUAGUCCCUGUCUCUUAUAC